rnacentral:tRNA from 1 species
GGUGAGAUUGGCACGCGGGCUCAUAACCUGAAGGUCGUAGGUUCAAAUCCUACUCCCGCAACCA